CAGCAGCCGCGGGAAUACGAAGGGUGCAAGCGUUAAUCGGAAUUACUGGGCGUAAAGCGUGCGUAGGUGGUGGUUUAAGUCCGUUGUGAAAGCCCCGGGCUCAACCUGGGAAUGGCAGUGGAUACUGGCUCGCUAGAGUGUGUCAGAGGAUGGUGGAAUUCCCGGUGUAGCUGUGAAAUGCGUAGAGAUCGGGAGGAACAUCAGUGGCGAAGGCGGCCAUCUGGGACAACACUGACGCUGAGGCACGAAAGCGUGGGGAGCAAACAGGAUUAGAUACCCCGGUAGUCCCUGUCUCUUAUAC
rnacentral:rRNA from 1 species